UACGUAGGGCGCAAGCGUUGUCCGGAAUUAUUGGGCGUAAAGAGCUCGUAGGCGGCUUGUCACGUCGGAUGUGAAAGCCCGGGGCUUAACUCCGGGUCUGCAUUCGAUACGGGCUAGCUAGAGUGUGGUAGGGGGGAUCGGAAUUCCUGGUGUAGCGGUGAAAUGCGCAGAUAUCAGGAGGAACACCGGUGGCGAAGGCGGAUCUCUGGGCCAUUACUGACGCUGAGGAGCGAAAGCGUGGGGAGCGAACAGG
rnacentral:rRNA from 1 species